AUUGAACGCUAGCGGCAGGCCUAAUACAUGCAAGUCGAACGGUGUAGCAAUACACAGUGGCGCACGGGUGCGUAACACGUAUGCAACCUACCUUACAUUGGGGGAUAGCCUUUCGAAAGGGAGAUUAAUACCGCAUAAGACAGUAACUAGGCAUCUAGUAGCUGUUAAAGAUUUAUCGAUGUAAGCUGGGCAUGCGUCCAAUUAGUUAGUUGGCGAGGUAAUGGCUCACCAAGACGAGGAUUGGUAGGGGAACUGAGAGGUCAAUCCCCCACACUGGCACUGAGAUACGGGCCAGAGUCCUACGGGAGGCAGCAGUAGGGAAUAUUGGGCAAUGGGCGCAAGCCUGACCCAGCCAUGCCGCGUGCAGGAAGAAGGCGUUAUGCGUUGUAAACUACUUUUAUACAGGAAGAAACGACCCUUGCGAGGGGCAUUGACGGUACUGUAUGAAUAAGCACCGGCUAACUCCGUGCCAGCCGCCGCCGUAAUAC
rnacentral:rRNA from 1 species